AUUUCUAUAUUGAUGUUUUCAUGGUUACCUCUGUAACAACCAAUUUUAUCUUAAUCUUUUUAUGACGUCUGCGCAUAUCGAACGUUCAGAUCAAAAUUAACAAAGGUUUCAGAAGGAGAGAGAGCAAGGUCUUUUGCAUCAUAAUCUGUAGUAUAGGGAAGCUUGAAUAAGGAAGACAGGAAAUAUGGACUGCUUUGUUAAAAUCUUGGUUCUAGUCAUGUUUCUUCUUCUACUGAUUGAAAACAGACAAGACGUAUGUAGUGCAGAUACGACAAGUGCACCACCACCUACAUUAAACACCUCGUCAGGUGGAACGACAACUACUCCAACUAAAUCAGCGAAUACUACAGUAACAGUGUCUACAACUACACCAAAGCCUCCUUCAGGUAAUA